rnacentral:rRNA from 1 species
AUUGAACGCUGGCGGCAGGCCUAACACAUGCAAGUCGAGCGGAUGAAGGGAGCUUGCUCCUGGAUUCAGCGGCGGACGGGUGAGUAAUGCCUAGGAAUCUGCCUGGUAGUGGGGGAUAACGUCCGGAAACGGGCGCUAAUACCGCAUACGUCCUGAGGGAGAAAGUGGGGGAUCUUCGGACCUCACGCUAUCAGAUGAGCCUAGGUCGGAUUAGCUAGUUGGUGGGGUAAAGGCCUACCAAGGCGACGAUCCGUAACUGGUCUGAGAGGAUGAUCAGUCACACUGGAACUGAGACACGGUCCAGGCUCCUACGGGAGGCAGCAGUGGGGAAUAUUGGACAAUGGGCGAAAGCCUGAUCCAGCCAUGCCGCGUGUGUGAAGAAGGUCUUCGGAUUGUAAAGCACUUUAAGUUGGGAGGAAGGGCAGUAAGUUAAUACCUUGCUGUUUUGACGUUACCAAAAGAAUAAGCACCGGCUAACUUCGUG